UCUCCCCCUCCGUCGAGAUAAGCACUUUGAUGAUUUUAAUUAUGAUGAUUAAGUUUGAUCAUUUUGAUCUAUAUUGAUACAUGCGUGUGAGCGUGCACCUUUGACUUUGCAUUCGCACGGUGCAUGAUAUCCCAUCCAAAUAAAGAUUUUGUGAUGGCAGCCACUGAAAAUCUCACUGUAAGCCAGGCUAAAGCAAAAGGUGGGUUGCGACUUGUGUUCAAUGUUUGUUCACCUAGUUUUUUAAUGUUGUCUUUUAUUCUUUGAUAAGGUGAUAGAAUGAGUGAAAGUUGCUUGUCAUCUUAGAGUAACCUGGUUAUACUAUGAAGUACACAGCUUGGUCAGCAGUCCCUUGUCAUCCUUAUCCACGGUGACUGUAUUGGCCGUUCAAAAGGUUCAGUGCUUUGACUAGAUAUCUUGCAAGACUUGCUGCAGACACUGCAGUCAGAUGAGAUAAACGAGAAGAUAUCUGGAGCACGAGAUCAGGCUGGCAAUGACAUGGUCAAAUACAUGCAGCUCGUUUUUCCACUGGUAGCUCAGGUGCAGGCAGAGGUCAUUGAAAAACAUGGAUUUUAUGGUGAACGAGCAAGUGUAGCCUUCAUGCAGAUGCUGAAGAACUUGGAAACACAGGACCCUGAGCUGGUGGCAAUGAGUGCAAGGGUGAGAGAGUAUUUCCUGCCCCAGUUGGGAGACCCAAAGGAUAGCUGAGAUGUGUCUGAAAAAAUGACUGAACACUGUAUGGUGUGGGUGAGAACUUAGAGAUGUGUUGUCUAUUUUUGUGCUUUUUUACAAUGAACAUUUCUUGGACACUUCAGUGGCACUAUUUCGAGGAAAAGAGCUUGGCGAAUUGCAUUGUGCAGUAAUGAGAGAAUCUAAGUUCUCUCGAUGAUGAUUUAGCAAUAGUAUCGACUGCCGAUGCUCAUUGCCUUCCUUUAUUAUUAAUGCGGUGAAAUUUCCAAAGGGAGUUGUCUGAAAGUAACAUGAUCUUUGUUGUACCAUGAAGUGGGUCUCGAAUUCGAUUAAACUAGACAGGAAGCGAAUCCAUCAUAAUCGUGGCAUCUUUCCCCGUGCAGUGAAGUAUUAUGUUGAUGUAGUAUGUACGAACGUAUCACUUCGUUGUGUUGUGGUAUGGCAGAUAUUCGUUAAUGAUUAGCAUCAACAUAUACCACUCGUCAAUCAGUAGUACUUGGCUAUCGACGCCUGUAGGUAAUGCCACUCCGUUUAUUUGAACGCCCGUCCGUAUAGACGUUCAGAUACCGAUGGCAUGAUUCUUAUGGGUCAUGUGGCUAACGUUGUGACUCAGCUGAUUGGAAUGCAUCCAGUGGGUGCUGGUAGAGAUGUUUUGUGUGUGGUGCCCUACUUAGUACUUAGUCAAAGCAAGUGCCUUAUCUCCAGCUAGAUUUAGGCGAGAUAAUGCGGUCAUUGUCCUCGUAGUUCGUAUAUGGCUGAAUGCAGAGGUGAUGUUUGGGCCCUGAACACAUGAAUUAGCAUAGGUUGUCUUCUGCUGGUGUUAGCGAUGUAACCUUGCUUCAUAUUGCGAUGCGACUUGACGAUAUCAGUCCCAAACUCAUCCCGGAACACGAAGUUCAUAAACCUUGCUGAUAAAGCUAUUUGUGGCUUGAGUCAGUUGCUUCCCUUUCAGUUGUGGAUCGCGCCCUAUUUCAGUUUGUAUGCACCAUUAAUUCAUUAUGUCUGAGCUUUAAGCGUGUACUUUUCUGAACUAACAAUAAACGUACUUACUAAUGUGA